CCUCACGUCCACUCAAUUCAAGAGUAUCCUCUACUCUAAACCAACUCAGUUCCACUAUUAUCACUCUGGAGUGGGACCUUCCCUCCUCCACUGGUGGUGUGUCUGUCAACUAUGUCCUCAUCAUCUCCCCAACACCUCUCUCCGUGUCAUCAGUCACCGUGGAGACCACCUCAGCACAGAUAACUGUUUCCUACAACAUUCCCUACAAUGUGACCAUCAGAGCUGUCAACUGUGUUGGAAUGAGUCAAGAGAGUUUAAUUGACGAUCUGGGUAAGCCAUUUCAUGGUCAUAUACAAAAAUAACACACAACACACCCUUACCCUUCUCACGGCUUGUGCUAGUGUGAGUCUAUACAUCCUCCCCUCAUUUUGAGGGCCAGUGAACCACACACACAAUCCCAAUUCUGAUACAUCAUCAAUCAGAGGAGCUGAGAAAAUGGGGAGAGGGUGAACAACUUCAACAUCCAGUCACUGAUAAUUUAUUAUUACUCUGGACUGGGACCACCUCCUUCCUGAAGGUCUGUUAAACAGCCAACUAUAAUUAUGUACAUAAUUAUGUCCUCAUCUCCCUAACACCUCUCUCUAAGUCACCAGUCACCGUGGAGACCAUCUCGGCACAGAUCACUAUCUCCUACAACACUCCCUACAAUGUGACCAUCAGAGCUGAGAGCUACAUGUACUAUAAUGUUGAAUAGAAGUCAAAUUUUGAAUCUGAGUAAGCCAGUAUAAUUAUCAUUUUCCUCUUUACUGCCGGCUGCUGUGUGUCCCACACCAUAAUUAUGACCAUCACCAACAUACCUCCUGUCACGAUUCAUGGAUCCAUGCUCAUCCUAAUUCAGUCACUUGCAAUGGAGACACGGGAAUGAAAAACCUCAGCAUUCAGCAGUAUAGCGGGUGGUCUCCUUAACCGUGACUGGGACUUUUGAUUCACUGCCACAUAUGAUAAUCUAUUAUUCAGCUCUAGGUAGCAGGGCUGCUGCCUUUAGACCUAGCUAUAUAGUUGGCUGCUGGAGGUGUUGUGUUGGCGUUCUGUUUGUGGGGGUACUGAUUGUUGUAGAGUUCAUAGUUGUUUGUUAAUCACCAAGAACUUAAAAAGUGGAGGUUAUGGAAGGAUGCAUGUUUACGAUUGUACAAAUCAUUCAAUUUCAAUUUUGUUUAUGACAAGUGAGACAAUGGAGAUUUUGUAAUGACUAACUUGCUCUGGAGGCCACAUUGAGUUGCAGUCGAAUCAGGCUUAUAUUUUGAGAAAUCAAAUAUGCUACUUGAUCUUGAUUGCGAACUGUUUGUUUACUUAUCAAUAAUGGUCAUGAUUGCAUUCAUCUUUAUUGUCAACAGAACAGUAUCCUUUAUGAUCACAACAGCUGGCUAAACAAACACUAAGUAACAGCCCACAGCUAUUUACUGAAGUCAGCAAUUUAGCAAAUGUUUCAUUAACGAUCUUUACUUUUUGAAAACUUCUUCAGGACAACUCUUAUAGAUAUAGCAGAUAUAGCACAAGGUUAAUAUUAGAUCUCAAUUAAACUUUUUUCGUAUACCCACACUGACAAUAAACCCACUGUCUCAUGACUGGAGAAGUAUGAUCUAAUCUAGGCAAUAGGUAAAGAUGUCACAUUUUGCUUUUGCACUUUAUUAAAUUUGCCCUGUUAAAUAAUGGUGAACUUGUUGGUGAUCAAGCAUCUUCUGUUAGCAGUGAUGAUUGGCUAUCAGAUAGGAGAGGCCUCAUUAGUGUCCAACACCAGUGUGGCGUGUCCUGGAGAGGCAGUUCUGUUCACAUGCUCUAAGCCAGCCGCUGUAUUGAGAUGGCAAGUGGAUCCUCCAGCGAAGUCUGGGUUGAUGUCAGUUCAAAGUACACUCUUUAUUGGUUCUCAAGUUGGUCGAAGGGACACAUUUGGAUCUGGAGUGAUCAUGUUUUGAGGCUGUUCUUGUAAGCAAUGAUGGUGGAACUCUGACGUCCACCCUAAUCAACCUCAGUGAAGUGUCUGUACUGGAAGGAACCAAUAUUACCUGUACUACUACCACUUCAAAUGGUAUUACAGUUGCAAUACAGCAGACAACUGUCUCUGUUGCUGGUAAUUCAACCUCUCCAUUAAACCCAAGAAUAUCCUCCACUCAAAACCAGCUCAGCUCCUCUCUUGUUAUUCUGGACUGGGACUCCCCCUCCUCUACUGGUGGUGUGUCUGUCAGGUAUAUCCUCGUCAUUUCCCCAACACCUCUCUCCAGGUCACCAGUCACCGUGGAGACCACCUCGGCACAGUUCAAUAUCUCUUACAACAUUCCCUACAACGUGACCAUCAGAGCAGUUAACUGUGUUGGCAGUAGCCGUGACAACAUGAUGAUGAUCCCUUCUAUUGUUACCUGUCCCUCCAACCCAUCACCUGCGAAUAGAGUGACCAUCAAUGGUGCUCCACCACUGCCUCCAGUAGGAUCAAUCCUGAG